GGUAUACAGAACGAAGUGUGUAGCGCUGAAAUUCCUGCAGGGAAUUUACUAUAUAUUGUUGUAAACCCUUAGGGGUAAGUGCUAAUUUCAUUCAGCGCUACACACUUUUUUCUGUAUA